rnacentral:ncRNA from 1 species
UAUUGAUUGAGCCAAACUUGUUGUGAAGCAGGGACGGAAAGCUAUGGGUCUUAUGAAAUAAGAUCGCCAAGUUGCUACA